rnacentral:misc_RNA from 1 species
GAUGAAGAACGUAGCGAAAUGCGAUACGUAAUGUGAAUUGCAGAAUUCAGUGAAUCAUCGAGUCUUUGAACGCACAUUGCGCCCCCUGGUAUUCCGGGGGACAUGCCUGUCCGAGCGUCAUUACUGCCCUCAAGCACGGCUUGUGUGUUGGGCCUCCGUCCUCCUCCCGGGGGACGGGCCCGAAAGGCAGCGGCGGCACCGCGUCCGGUCCUCGAGCGUAUGGGGCUUCGUCACCCGCUCUUGUAGGCCCGGCCGGCGCUUGCCGACACAUCAAUCUUUUUUCCAGGUUGACCUCGGAUCAGGUAGGGAUACCCGCUGAACUUAAGCAUAUCAAUAAGCGGAGGA